GCUGGAAUCCCAGGAGUGCCAUUUCACACCAUUACCAGAUGGUGAGGAUGGCUUUAGUUAUUCACUAGCAACUGGCUUAGAGAARAAGAAUUUCAAAGAGUUGUUCAAGAAAAUCCAGGUCCUCAUUUUCAGACAUGGCCUGCAAAAUACACUUCAAGAGCACACCAAGUAAACAAGGUGAUGUUGUGGUUGUCUGAGGAAAUCAUUACACAGUACAUUAGCCAAGGAACUACACUUUAAUGCCUAGGACUGCAUAAUUCAGCCUACACAUGAAAGCUGAGAAGUUCAUCCGAAAGAGGAAGUAGACAUAUCUUAUCACCCUUGACUUGCUUACAUUCCUGUGGCUUACUGCGUAUCAGCAAUAAAWUCCUGCUAAGUAUUUCCAUGAUUCAGAUCAGCAUGUCAUCAUCCAAAAAUCCGGUCGGAGCUGGCCUGCAAAAGGGCAAACAUCUACAGCAAAUGGAGCAGAUUUGCCUGUAAUCAAUCACUCUCUCAACUUACAUACUUACUGAAAAUUGUGGUUCAUUUCCUCAACACCAGUGGAGAGGAGCGAUGAUAAACCAGACAGCUUGGAGUGUGUUCAUCAUGAGUGUCCUCAGUUGCCCAGAUCCCUGAGACACCUGGAGCUCUGUGGAAAAUGGAGCUAUUACAAUAUCCCCUGACUGCUGCAGCUUAAGAGCAGGAACUCUAUGUGUGAUCUUUUGGCAAACACCAAAUAUCAGUUUCUAAAUCCCAACAGUGUAAAAUGUGAGUGAGUAACCAUCGGCUGAAACACUGCAAAGCCUUCUACCUACCUUCUGCAGAAAGCACCCGACUGGAAGGGGCAGUUUCCAACAGCAGGGUACAGGCUAGAUGAUGCUACACUUAUAGCCUCCUCCUCUCCUUACAAAUGUUCCAAAUACCUAGGGAGUAGGUACACCAUAUACCUCCUCUGGAGCUUCCUUGUCUUGCUCCCUUCAUGGGAUCGCAUUAAGAAAAAAAAAGUCUACAGGUUUUUAACAUUUGGAUGUUUUUCUAAUUUAAUGUCAUUAAUCUUGCAAUUUUGAGCAGCUGCUACCUGGCUGAGAACAUGGUGAGCAUGGCAAAAAAAAAGCAGUGACUCAAACUGACUUUUGCCCUCCAUAGGAGCAAUGACUUUUGUUCAGUUCUACAACAAACCACUAAAGAUCAUUCAGAUGAGCAUACCCUGAGCAGUGCAGUCCAUUGGGGAGCCCAGAAAGAUCCCAGACCUCAAAGGUCAGAAUUUGUUUAGUGCUAUCUAUGCAAAUUUCAAGGGGUUUUCUCAUCUGAAAUAACCCAUAACCAACAAAGAGGAAGUCACACUUCCUCACACAGCCUCAUGAACGAUGAUUGACAGUAAUGGCRUUGGCUGUGUUGCAGUUGUUUCUCCCUUUGUCACUCUGUGUUGCUCUGUAGUUCUGUCAGCGAUUCCCAGCACUGKCUGGCUGGGUCUUAUCACAACAGCCUUACUGGAAACACUUGCUCCUGUUUUAUUCUUCACAGAAUUCACCAUUUAUUAUUAUUGCAUCGGUUAUUAUUGCACCAAGAAGUGCUUGUGAAGUGGAAAUUCCCAACUUUGAACAAAUUUACACAGAUUACAGUCUAUAUUAUAUUUGCCUAGUUUCCUUAUAGGGAACUGGGAACAGGUUGUGCUUUUAGAAUUAUCUGGUUUCCCUUCCCUGAGUUACCAUCCUCUGAAAAUGAAAAGAAGCUGUGUUGUAACAGGAAAAGAUAACCAGUUUUAUAAUGGGUUGUGUGUCAGCUGAUAACUUUGGUUAUUGCCAUUUCUGUACCGAGGCUCAGCUCCCAACAUUGCAUACAGCCAUCAGAGCCAAGAAAGUAACAUAA